UUCCUGUCAGGAGUCACUGACGUGUCGCUGCUUAUUGCAGCCUUGCUGCAGCCACAUCCUGGCCUGUUUUGCCAGCAGCAGCAGGCAGAGCGCUUCAGUUACAGCUUUGUGGCACCAGCAGUCGGUGGCAUGAGGCUCAGUGGUACCAACACAGCCAAGCAAGGCUGAGGGCAACGGUUAACUUUCAGGAUGUGAUUUACUCCUCUCACGGACUCUGCUUGCAGGCCCUACAGAGGGACCCCAACAGGCUGGAUUGAUGGGCUGAGGCCAAUGGGAUGAAGUUGAAGACCAAGUGCCCGGUCCUGCACUUUGGUCACAACAACCCCAUGUAAUGCUACAGGCUGGGGGCAGAGCAGCUGGAAAGCAGUGUGGAAGAAAAAGGAUCUGGGGGUGUUGGUCAACGCUCAGCUGAACACGAGCCAAAAGCGUGCCCAAGUGGCCAAGAAGGCCAAUUGCAUCCUGGCUUGCAUCAGAAAUAGCACAAGCAGCAACAGCAGGGAGGUGAUCGUCCCCCUGUAUUCAGCUCUGGUGAGACUGCACUUUGAGUGCUGUAUUCAGUUUUGGACUCCUCACUACAAAAAAGACACUGCAGCCCUGAAGCACAUCCAGAGAAGAGCAACCAAGCUGAACAGACCGCAAUAACGCACAUUCAUCAUCCACGCUGCAGUGCACACAGAAGGAGCUCUCCUGCCAGGAGGGGCUGUACUGCAGCAUGGCACUCGCCCAGCAAUCAGUGCAUUGAAGCUGACCUUUCUGUAAGCGUUACAUCGGUGAGAGGCUGCAAGAUGUGGCGUUCAACUCGCUUCUGUAUGGCUUCUGGUUGACCUCAUCCCCCGCUCACCUUUACACAAGCAGCUUCUGUUGACUGGAUGAAAAGGGAACGUGUUGCACAGCUCUGGGUACCUCCUCACUGCCCUCCCACGAGAGCUGCGUUAAUGACAAGGAGGGAGCACAGAGAUCAGGGGGCAUAUGUUCUGCCAGUGGCUUUGUCAGCUCACAGACUCACCUUCAGAUUGGAGAGUGCUGCUCACAGAUGUGGAUGUGAAGGCUACUUGAGCUGUGCUUCAAGCGUACAUAUUUCAAUAAUGCCAUAUUAAAUGACCACUGCUGGUUGAAGCAUACAAUAUAUCCGAGCUUCCACUUAUUUCUAAUUACCCUGAUUUUACUGGCAAUAUUUUGAAUGGACAGAUGGCUGUGUUAGCUGCAAAGCAUUCAUUAGUGAGAAAUGCAAAAGCA
ensembl:lncRNA